GCUUGUUCUCCAUGGUGUAGAUCACCGGGGGCUUCUCCCUGCCCUCCUCCUCGGCGGCCGCCGCCGCGGCGGAGUCCAUGAGCAGGAGGGGUCCUCAGCCCCGGUUCCCCCGCCCGCUGGGCGCCAUGGAAACGCCGCCGCCACCGCUCCCCCUUGCCGGGGGACUGGGACGAACCGCUCCGCCUCGGGGCCUGCUGGCGUGUCCCCCCCACCUCCCCCCACCCCCUUCCCCGCGUCCCCGCAGCGCCGCUCCGGAGGGGAAGGCGGGCGAGCUCAUCCGCUUCCUGGAUCACCGGCUGAACAUUACCGCUUCCGGGGAGCGACGCGGCCCGCCGGCGAGGGGCGACGGCGCCCGGGUGCAGCGCGGCCGCACAAGAGUUAACCUGCAGAGGGGUGAAAGGAAGGGGAAGCGCGGGGCCUGAGGGAAGCCGGGCAGGGGCGGCGGCGGGAUGCGCCUGCGCGGAGCCGAUGGAGCACAGCCCCUUCCCCGUGGUCCCCGUUCCUCCCCGCGCCAGGUUUCUUCAGAAGUAAGAACUUAGAGGAUUUAUUUAGAUUUUCUCAAGUGGAAGUAAAAAAAAAGAUACAGAAGAUCAUACAGAAAGGAGUCUACUACUACUUAAUACUGCUAGGUUUUGGACUUCCCAGUUCAAGAGAGAGACAGGGAUCUUCUGGAGAGAGUCCAGUGGAGAGCCACAAGGAUGACUGCAGGACUUGCACAUCUCUCCUGUGAAGUAAGACUGAGAGGCCUGGGGCUGUUUAGAAGAUAAGGCCGAGAAGGGAUCUUAUCAACAUCUGUAAGUACCUGAGGGGUGGGUGUCAAGAUGAAGGUGUUGGUCUCUUUUUGGUCAUACACAGUGAUAGGACAAGGAACAACAUGUACAAGCUGUAGCACAGGAGGUUCCACCUCAACACGAGUAGAUAGUUCUUUACAGUGAGGGCAAUGAAACACUGGAACAGGCUGCACAGAGGUGUUGUGGAGUCUCCUCUGGACACUUUCAAAAUCUGCUUGGAUGCAUUCCUGUGCAGCCUGCCCUGGCCAGAGGGUUUGGAUGCAAUGAUCUCUGGAGGUGCCUUCCAACCCUUAACAUUCUGUGAUUCUGUCAAUUUUCCCAACAAUGUUAUAAAUUCUUGUAGGGAUUUCUCACCUUUGAUACUUCUGGUAACUAGUAUUUUGGGAGAAAGAGAUCAUGAAGUUCAUGGACUUUCACUAGGAUGGCCUGCAGUUGCUCUUCUCAUUCACACUGUACAGCAUUUGGUAUUAAACAGAAAAAUCUACUUAACUAAUUGUGACUAAGUUUUACAGAAGCACAGGAGGAAACCUUAUCCCCAAAGACAAAUUGUUCAAGGAGUCAGAUAUAGAAGAAAAUACAUAGUUUAUGUUUUCAUUUCAAUAUGGAGACAGCAGCUAGAAGACUGGCACUGGAAUAGGCUGCCCAGGGAAGUGGUGGAGUCACCAUCCCUGGAGGUGUUCAAGCAAAGGCUGGAUGAGACACUUAGUGCUAUGGUCUGGUUGAUUGGAUAGGGCUGGGGGAUAGGUUGGACUGGUUGAUCUUGGAGGUCUCUUCCAACCUGGUUGAUUCUAUGAAUUUGCAUGUGAAAACAAGUAAAAACUAUGCUGGAAGCACACUUCUCUUUGUGACAUUGCUGGGUUGUAAUGAAUAAAACAUUUCUGCAUGCAGUCAUUUGGUUAUUUUUAACUGAAUGAAUUUUCAUAGGAAAAUCUGGUUUUAAUUAACUGAUUUAAUUAAUUCAGGUCCACCUGCAGAAACACAGGAGGAGAAAAAAGUUAUGAUUUUUACAUAUUGGAGCAUAAUAAUUUUGUAAAGUAAAUGCUGGGUUUCAAAAGUAACACUUUAAAAGGCAUCUUGGCUUCUUAAAUUAGUGUGUCAGCCACACAUCCUAAGCUCUAUGUAAUUUUUGCUUUUUAUUUCACGUUCUUGCAAAAGAAUCAUUGGCUGAAACUCACUGAAAAGCAACAAAACUAGCAUAGGGAGCCCACUUGCAUAUCAUCUCUAUUCAAGAGCAUUUUCAUCCCAUCCACAGAUUCCUGUCUGUAUUUCUGCAGCAGAAAAUGCUGUGUUGUGUGAACUGCCCCUCGUCACCAGAGUUAUGAAAAGAGGGAAUGCACAGAAAGUGACAGUAAACAUGCUGAAGAAAUGCAUUCUGUCCUUAUUCUGAAGCCCCUGAAUGACCACCAAGGCAUACCAGAAGGACAAGGUUGAAAUGUGGGAUCAGAAACCUUCAAGAAGGGUCAGGAAAAACUAACAGCCUAAAGAAAUGGAGAGAAAAGAGAAAUCAUUUAAGGAAGGCAUCUGCAGAAAAACUGGUCAAGGCAGAGCAGCUGGAGCAAGGAGGUGAGGUCCUGGCCUGGGAGGGAGGUUCAGCAGCAUGCUGCAUCUCUGAUGUAAUCUUUGCAACACCAGUCUUUAUCUUCUGGGACUCAAAGAAAUCUCUGUUCAUGGCAAUGCCUCUUUCUAGCACUCCCCACGAGUGGCUUUCCUCCUCUUCCAAAUGGCAUGAUUUGCUCUUUUCAACUACCUGAAGGGAGGUUAGAGUGAAGAUGAGGCCAGUCUCUUCUUGAUGACAAGCAACAGAACUAGAGGAAAUGGUUACAAGCUGUCUCAAGGCAGGUCCAGGAUGGAUAUCAGGAAAUAUUUCUUCACAGAAAAGGUUGUCAAACAUUGGAAUGGUCUGCCCAGAGCAGUGGAGUCACCAUGCCUGGGGAUAUGUGGGCCUGGUGCUUAGGGACAUGGUUUAGUGUUGACUCUUAGUGCUGAAUCAAGGGUGUGGCUGGAUGAACUUUGCGGUCUCUUCCAACCAGAUAUUCUGUGAAUAACUCUCAAAAAUCCUACUGCUCUUGAGAAAAUGCUACUAAAAGGCAGCGUAUUUGAGAUACCAGGGGUAGCUUCACCUUGCAGACGUGAGAAGAAAGGCAUUUGAACUCACAAAUCAAGUGCUGAGCAUGAUACAUGUACACUUACUGAGUUUAGUAAAGAGGAACAUUUUAAAGUGUGAAGAAAAGGGAUCUUAUUUCUCGUUCAUCUGAAAAGUUAACACUGUCCCAAGAGAACAGGCAGAAGCACAGAAAGUUAAGAAUUUGAAUGCUAGAUGUACUUUAGAGGUAAGACAGCACCACAGGAUGUCUCCAAGCACAACUCAAGUACAGAGCCUUUGGUACUACUGCUAGCAGGGUGACUGCAUUGCCAGAUAUGUGCAACUGAUGUCAUGGCCAGUCAUGAGGGCUUAGAGGGACCACGAUUUAUUUAACCUGUGUCAGUCAGAAAGCUCUCUGAUCACAGCUUGGGAGGUAAAUCACCAUUACUUAAGUUGUUUUAACAGGUAUACACUGCAGUCCAUGCACCAGCACACUCCCAGCUGGGGACAGUACAGGCUGGACAAAAGACAACCCUUUUCUUCAGCAUACAUUUGUGACUGGUAAUUUUUACUUCACAGUAUCACAGUAUCACCAAGGUUGGAAGAGACCUCUACUUGAUAUACUAUUCCAAACAUAAAUGUGUGUUCAUUUCUAGAAGUUACUUUACAAAACACAUUACAGGAUUUAUUAAUAAAAUUAACCUUUACCAAUUAAUUAUGGGUUUUACGUAACAAAGAACUACUCUGUUACAGUAUGUUACUUGUCUUCAUUUAUCUUCCUGCUUAAGCUUCUGAAGAGGGUGGGUGAAAUUGGUAAGAGCUAGACCAUAACAUUUCCAAUUUCAUUUUCUAGGCAAUAAGGAUUUCUGUUUGUCCAUCACAGCAGCCCAAAGAUGAGCUCACAUGUCCAAGGUAUAAUUAAAAACUGAUGGGAAAAAGAAAGGAGGGAAUCUUAAACAGAGUUCCAGUAUUAUUUAAAUACUCUUCUCUGAGUUCAUCAAGGGAACUCUCAUUUCAAAAUUAGCAUGUCAGGAGUUAGUAGUUAUUAAAUUGAAACACUAUUAAUUAAAAUUGAGAUUCCCUUGCAAAUAUAUGGUAGGCAGGUCCUCCCUGGGUAGCAAAAUGGGAAAGUACUACAAUAAUGAAGUUUGAAGAAGAAACUCAGGUGGUCAUGACAGUAAGCCUGAAAAUAAAUAUGCAAAUAAGAA